rnacentral:rRNA from 1 species
UACGGAGGGGGCUAGCGUUGUUCGGAAUUACUGGGCGUAAAGCGCACGUAGGCGGCGAUUUAAGUCAGAGGUGAAAGCCCGGGGCUCAACCCCGGAACUGCCUUUGAGACUGGAUUGCUAGAAUCUUGGAGAGGCGAGUGGAAUUCCGAGUGUAGAGGUGAAAUUCGUAGAUAUUCGGAAGAACACCAGUGGCGAAGGCGGCUCGCUGGACAAGUAUUGACGCUGAGGUGCGAGAGCGUGGGGAGCAAACAGG